ACAGGGUUCAGCCAGAAACUUGGGGUGUUCCCUGAACUGCCAGGGCAGGGCGUUGAAUGCAGGAUGCAAGGUAGCUGCUAUUGCCAGUACAGUCUUGGGGUGGGGUGGGGGUGGAGGAGCCCAAGUCAAUUUCCACAUUUUCCAGAAAGGAAAAGGACGUGGUUUGGCUUUCAGCAGCCCAGGAAAGCUCCCAUCGGCUUUACUGAGACCGGUUCCAGGUGACAGCCCCAAAGCCGCCAGCCACCCAUUUGGUGCUCGCCGCUCCAGCAGCAGUGGGACUUGAGGCAAAUGGGAUGCUCCCAAGUCUGGUCCUUGAUAAGCACUCGUUCCUGAAUCGGUGCCUCUGCAAUGCAAGUAAUAGUAAUAAAUACGCAAUUUGCAGAGUAGUGAAUAAGGCAGCGCAUUACUGAGACACUGAUAAGCGAAAACCAGCAAUAUGAGAAGGCUGUGCCAUAUGUUACCACCGGAAUCAUGCGUACUUCUUACCUAUUGCCCUUGUGGUUGCAUUGCUAUUUAGAAAAAUCUGUGUGUAGAAGGGUGUCAUAUAUGUACUCUGUGCGUGGGUGUGUGUGUGUGUGUGUGUGUGUGUGGG